rnacentral:lncRNA from 1 species
GCUGAGACUAGUCUCAAAUUUGCAAUCCUCCUGCCUCAGCCUUCUGAGUGGCUGGGAUUGCAGGUGUGUGCUACCACACCCGGCUCCCCUUCUGGCUUCUGAGCAGAGUCCUGCUAAGUCUAAACAAAGCUGUUAGGACAACAGGUAGAUAGACUUAGGCCUUUCCAAUUUCCUGGUGAUGAAGACAGGUUAAGCAAACCUCCCCUCAGCCAUGAAGACUGAUGUUGGGUUUGAAUGUCUGUUUUAUGAACACUUUCUCGCAGAGCAGUGCACCCAGCAGGUGUGCCAGCACCCUGCUACUGUGGCUCAGCUGGCAGGGCUAUCAGCUUCGGAGCCCACAGGCCCCAGACCUAUUGAUUAAGAUCUGCCAUAAAGGUACCAGAGGCCCUGAGCCCAAGGGUAACUUGAGGAGGCCCAGAGAUCCAGCAGUUCCUGAGCAAGCCUGGGAGGGCCAUGCCCCUGGGGUGGGCAGUGGGGUGUGUUACACAUUGUGGGAGGGAGAUGUGUGCUGUACCUGCACUGGUCCUACAGGUGAUCGCAGGCUGGCCUCUAGGGCUCAAGGCCUGUGAAGGGGAUCAUUCAUGGGGAGCAACAGAUAUGCCAGGCAGCUUUGGAUUUGGGGACUUUCAGUGUUCCCGUUGUGUUCUCUGGCCAUUAGUAUGAGUCCUAUUCUCAACACAGGCAGGUUUGUGUUUGGGGGUUUGGUUUUUAGAUGCUGCUUCUAGGUCCUCCCUGUAAAAGUUUCCAAAGGAACAGCCAGCACUUUCCCUCCUGGCUGCUCUGGUUAGGAGAGCCACAUAGCCUUUGCUUCUCUCCAGCGGACCUUCAGCAUUUCUUUUUAUCAGACUGUUGGUCAAAUUCACAUCCAGAAGAGCCUCCUCCAGACAACCCUGCAGAUUCCUGGGGCCUCGGCCUCUACCCCAGCCUUGAGACUGUGCAAGUGGAAGGUGGCCCAGCCCUCAUAUUUCCCUGCCACUUGCCUGUCCUCUCUAGGCCCAGCUGGUGCAGGCACUCUGCUCCUCAGAGGGUCAAGGGGCAUAAGGAAGGGAAGGCUAUUUAGCCUGGGUCCAAGGGUCUGUUGGCAGAGUACAAAUAGCAAUUUCCUGAAAAAGCAGAGCCUGUCCUCAUCAGGGAGCAGCCUAAUGAUCCCAGGACAAGAGAACUGCCACCAUCUGCUUCAUCAGGGCCCCCUGAACUGGAGGAGAAAGUGGACAGCUAAGGACUUAAGCCCAGGCACGCUCACCAAGUGCCACCCUGUGGCCUGGCUGUGUGGCCUAGCUGCCUGUGUGCCUAGCUGCCUGUGUGCCUAGCUGUGCGUGGCAGCCUCAGGUGCUGGGAGCUAUGCUGCUUUCAGUCUGCUCAGACCGCAGGCCCAUGAGCUGUGUGGAGCUCCAGGCUAGCGAUGUAAGCCAGCUGCAACUAAAAGUAGGGAAUCCUGAUCUCAAAUCUCAGUCCAUGGAAGAGAAAGCCAUGAAAAAGCAAGGGCAGGACAAGAAGCCAGAUGAGAGGAGAUGCGCCAGGGCCAAGACCUGAGGAAGCUGGAAGGAGUCACCCUGUCUAGCUGCCAGGUCAGAGUCUCAGAAUUCUAUCAUGAACGACAAAGGCAGGUCUUCCCUGUAUUUCUUUAAUUUCCUAAUAGCCAUAUUUAUUUAUUUAUUCUUGUGGUACUGGGAUUGAAUCCAGGGUUUCUACCACUGAGCCCCAGCCCUUUAGUUUUUAUAUUUUGAGCCAGAGUCUUGCUAAGUUUCUAAGGCCAACCUCAAGCUUACAAUCCUCCUGCCUCAGGCUUUGGAGUGGCUAGGAUUAAAGGUCUGUGCCACCACGCCUGGCAAGUGGCUACAUCCCCCCACCCCACCCCAUGGUGCUAGGGAUUGAACCCAGGGCCUCAUGCACAACAGGCAAGUGCUCUACCCCCGAGCCACAUUCACCAGACCAAGAAACCACAUUUUAAAAAGAAAAAACAACAGGUCAAAUUAAGAAUGCAUUUCAUUUAACUGAAUAUACCCAAAAUAUUACAACAUGUAAUCAGUAUAAAAAUUAAUAAUGAGGGGCUGGGGUUGUGGUUCAGAGGAAGAGCACUUGCCUAGUAUGCAUGAGGCACUGGAUUUGACCCUCAGCAUCGUGUAAAAAUAAAUGUAUUGUGUACACUGAUAACUAAAAAAUAAAUAUUUAAAAACA